ACGUAACCAAUUUCGGAACGCUCUACUGUCAAGAGAUGUUCCAAGUGGAUAUGGGUAUAAGUUUAGCCUUCUGACCUGAGACCGCAACCUGUGACUAGCAAGCAACUCAUUGUACUUUGGUACCGGACUACUUGAAUUUUUAAUUCAGUGACAGAAGGUCACUGGGUGCAGUCAAGUACUUGCAUAGUCAGUUGUGAGUCGAGAUGGAAUUGACCCCUCCUGAAAACAGGAGAUAAUGUCUUGUGAUUAAUUUAGCAAAAUCUUGGCCAGGAUAAUCCCAGUGAGGAGUCACGGGAUAUCUAAAGUUAAUCACAUAAUGGAUGUACUAAUUAUAGGGUUGACAGUGGGCUCUAAGUCAUCCUGGCAUUAGGAGUCAAAGGGAUUGAAUUAUACAGUAACCAUAGUCCAGGGUUUCAGAAU
rnacentral:lncRNA from 1 species